rnacentral:rRNA from 1 species
CUAACAAGGAUUCCCUUAGUAACUGCGAGUGAAGAGGGAAAAGCUCAAAUUUAAAAUCUGGCAGUGUUUCACUGUCCGAGUUGUAACCUAGAGAAGUGUAACCUGUGCUGGACCGUGUAUAAGUCUCCUGGAAUGGAGCAUCAUAGAGGGUGAGAAUCCCGUCUUUGACAUGGACUACCAGUGCAUUGUGGUUGCGCUCUCAACGAGUCGAGUUGUUUGGGAAUGCAGCUCUAAAUGGGUGGUAAAUUCCAUCUAAAGCUAAAUAUUGGCGAGAGACCGAUAGCGAACAAGUACCGUGAGGGAAAGAUGAAAAGAACUUUGGAAAGAGAGUUAAACAGUAUGUGAAAUUGUUGAAAGGGAAACGUUUGAAGUCAGUCGCGUUGGUUGGGGAUCAGCCUGACAUUGUUGGGUGUACUUCCUGGUUGACGGGCCAACAUCAGUUUUGACUGCCAGAAAAAGGCCAAAGGAAUGUGGCACCUUUGGGUGUGUUAUAGCCCUUGGUCGUAUAUGGUGGUUGGGACUGAGGAAAGCAGCGUGCCGAAAGGCCGGGUUUCGACCACGUUCACGCUGAGGAUGUUGGCAUAAUGGCUUUAAGCGACCCGUCUUGAAACACGGACCAAGGAGUCUAACAUGCGUGCGAGUGUUUGGGUGGAAAACCCUUACGCGUAAUGAAAGUGAAAGUUGAGAUCCCUGUCGCGGGGAGCAUCGACGCCCGGACCAGAACUUUUGGGACGGAUCUGCGGUAGAGCAUGUAUGUUGGGACCCGAAAGAUGGUGAACUAUGCCUGAAUAGGGUGAAGCCAGAGGAAACUCUGGUGGAGGCUCGUAGCGAUUCUGACGUGCAAAUCGAUCGUCAAAUUUGGGUAUAGGGGCGAAAGACUAAUCG